rnacentral:lncRNA from 1 species
CUCCUAAAACAAUAGAAUCUAAUUUACUCCAAAAGAAAUGCAGCCCACCACUCUUCCCUGAAUAUGUGCUUGAGCUGCACCCUGGUGAGUUUCCCCGUCAGGAACCUACAGUCAGAGAUCAAGUUACGAAGAUAAUGAACCAUUUCUUCUUAAUAGAUGAAUGAGGGCUUGAGAGUCUGUUUCAAUCUCCAAAUUUUGGAGGUGAAGUAAAUCUGUUAAAAGCACCUUAAGGGCCAAAAGUUCAGCUGCUACACAAGUAAGAUUACCAAUGUUGUGCAUGAAUCCUCCAACCAAUUGGCCAUGGCAAUCACAGAUG